GAUGAACGCUGGCGGCGUGCCUAAUACAUGCAAGUCGAGCGAACACAUGAUGAGCUUUCUCUUCUGCCGUUAGCGGCUGACGGGUGAGUAACACGUGGAUAACCUACCUAUAUUACUUGGAUAACUUCGUGAAACCGGAGCUACUACCAGCUCAUAUAUUGAACCGCAUGGUUCAAUAGUUCAAGACGGUUUUCCUGUCACUUUUAGCUGGUUCCGCGGCGCAUUAGCUAGUUGGUAAGGUAACGGCUUAACAAGGCAACGAUGCGUAGCCGACCUGAGAGGGUGAACGGCCAAAAUGGAACUGAGAAAAGGUCCAGAAUCCUAAGGGAGGCAGCAGUAGGGAAUCUUCGGAAAUGGGCGAAAGCCUGAAGGAGCAAAGCCGCGGGAGUGAUGAAGGUCUUCGGAUCGUAAAACUCUGUUAGUAGGGAAGAAAAAAUGUGUAAGUAACUAUGCACGUCUUGAAGGUACCUAAUCAGAAAGCCACGGCUAACUACGUG
rnacentral:rRNA from 1 species